GACGAACCGUGCGAACGUUGUUCGGAUUCACUGGGCUUAAAGGGCGCGUAGGCGGGUCAACAAGUCAGGGGUGAAAGCUUUCGGCUCAACCGGCAAAGUGCCUUUGAUACUGUUGAUCUGGAGUGAGGUAGGGCCAUGCGGAACAGUGGGUGGAGCGGUGAAAUGCGUAGAUAUCCACUGGAAUGCCGGUGGCGAAAGAGGCGUGCUGGACCUCGACUGACGCUGAGGCGCGAAAGCUAGGGGAGCAAACGGG
rnacentral:rRNA from 1 species